rnacentral:rRNA from 1 species
UGGGGAAUAUUGGGCAAUGGGGCGAAAGCCUGACCCAGCAACGCCGCGUGAAGGAAGAAGGUCUUCGGAUUGUAAACUUUUGUCUUAUGGGACGAUAAUGACGGUACCAUAGGAGGAAGCCACGACUAACUACGUGCCAGCAGUCGCGGUAAUACGUAGGUGGCGAGCGUUAUCCGGAAUUAUUGGGUGUAAAGGGUGCGUAGGCGGGACGUAAAGUCAGAUGUGAAAUGCGGAGGCCCAACCUCCGAACUGCAUUUGAAACUUACGUUCUUGAGUGGAGUAGAGGCAAGCGGAAUUCCCGGUGUAGCGGUGAAAUGCAUAGAUA